rnacentral:rRNA from 1 species
UAUGCCGCAAGGUGAAAUACGAAAGUGCCUAAAGACGAGCUCGCGCCUGAUUAGCUAGUUGGUGGGGUAAAGGCCUACCAAGGCGACGAUCAGUAGCUGGUUUGAGAGAAUGAUCAGCCACACUGGAACUGAGACACGGUCCAGACUCCUGCGGGAGGCAGCAGUGGGGAACUUUCCGCAAUGGGCGAAAGCCUGACGGAGCAAUACCACGUGAGGGAUUAAGGCCUGUGGGUUGUAAACCUCUUUUCUCAAGGAAGAAUCAAUGACGGUACUUGAGGAAUAAGCAUCGGCUAACUCCGUGCCAGCAGCCGCGGUAAUACGGGGGAUGCAAGCGUUAUCCGGAAUUAUUGGGCGUAAAGCGUCUGUAGGUUGUUUAAUAAGUCUGUUGUUAAAGACUGGGGCUUAACCCCAGGAAAGCAAUAGAAACUGUUAGGCUAGAGUGUGGUAGAGGUAGAGGGAAUUCCUAGUGUAGCGGUGAAAUGCGUAGAUAUUAGGAAGAACACCGGUGGCGAAAGCGCUCUGCUGGGCCAUAACUGACACUCAGAGACGAAAGCUAGGGUAGCAAAUGGGAUUAGAUACCCCAGUAGUCCUAGCCGUAAACGAUGGAUACUAGAUGUUGCGUAACUCGAUUAUGCAGUGUUGUAGCUAACGCGUUAAGUAUCCCGCCUGGGGAGUACACUCGCAAGGGUGAAACUCAAAGGAAUUGGCGGGGGCCCGCACAAGCGGUGGAGCAUGUGGUUUAAUUUGAUGCAACGCGAAGAACCUUACCAAGGCUUGACAUGUCACG